UGCAGACUGAUCAAAACUAGAGAACAUGGGAUGGGUUGAUUAAUAUUUCCGCUGAGGUUUGGCCAUACCAAUCAAUGCCCACUUCCUUAUAGGACUGAUUGACAAUGCUGUCUCUAUUAUUUCAUUUCCUAAGGUAUAGCCAAGACAUGCAAUUCGACCUCUAGCCCAAGGCACAUAGUUCUCAGAGGAUUUUCCACCUAGCCUGUCAGACGUUAACGUGUAGCUAUUUCUAAACUGCUUAUACCUGUCUAUUCCUUUCCAAACCUCCAUGACGUGUCUAGGGCUAGGAGUGGAUUUGACACUGGGUAUAAUAAGUUUCUGUACAUGUGUUCUCUCUGAAUAAAAGGCAUAAGCUAUAGCCACCCACUCUCUCACACUCUCUCUCUCUCACACACACACACACAACGUUUUAUCAGUCUCCCUAUCUUCACACACAGAAGAAACCUUGAGCUGAAGGGACCAUCAUUAGAAUUCUGAGAGAACACAUGUUAAUUUUUUUCUUUACCAGCCUGACUUAUGAGGGUGAGUCAAAAGCUCUGAGAUUUUUUGAAAAAGGGAACCCAGACAAUGUUAAAAGUAGCUAACUUUGUCCACUCCCUUUCUGUUUUCUCUCAUUCUCUGCAGCAGACAGGCGUGAUUUAAUUUGAUGGACUUGCGUCGUAGACUAGAGAAAAACCUAACUGGAACCUGCUGAAGCUAAGACAGCUGUCAUGAACAGGGAUUUAUAGACAUGCCAUUGGCAUGGCAACAGGGUUCUAGGUCUCAUUUUGGAGGUCAGGGGGAUUAGGAACAACUUUUCCCACUUCCUGCUGGGGGAUGCAGAGUUCUCCCUGUAGUCAAGGGGUCCUUCCUUAUAUAUCCUGCUCACAUGGCCUAGGGCAGGAACGGCAAGGAAUGAGAGCAACUCCCCCCUUUAAUCCCCCUCCUCCGUUGUUUUCAGAUAUUUUUAUUUUCUCUCCUUCGAAAGCUUCUCUCCAUUCUCUAAAUGCAUUGCGCUUAUUAUAGCAGGUAGAUCUCAGCAGGUCGUGUUUUGUGGUGUUGUAACAGCAAAGCUAUUCACGAAUGCAAAUGACCUCAUUAAGAACAGGAGUUACGGUGCUUUCGGGAAGUAUUCAGACCCCUUCAGAUUCAGAUUACACCCUUAUUCUAAAUCUAUUCGAUCGUUUUUUCCCCCUCAUCAAUCUAUACACAAUACCCCAUAAUAACAAAGCAAAAAAAAGUUAAACACAAAAUAACACAUUUACAUAAUUAUUCAGACCUUUUACUCAGUACUUUGUUUUUUGGCAGUGAUUACAGCCUCGAGUCUCCUUGGGUAUUUGGCACACCUGUAUUUGGGGUGUUUCUCCCAUUCUCAGGUUGAAUGGGGAGCGUUGCAGCUAUUUUCAAGUGUCUCCAGAGAUGUUCGAUCGGUUUUCAAGUCCGGGCUCUGGCUGGGCCACUCAAGGACAUUCAGAGACUUGUCCCGAAGCCACUCCUGUGUUGUCUUGGCUGUGUCCUUAGGGUCAUUGUCCUGUUGGAAGGUUAACCUUUGCCCCAGUCUGAGGUCCUGAACGCUCUGGAGCAGGUUCUCAUCAAUGAUCUCUCUCUGUGCUCUGUUCAUCUUUGCCUCGAUCCAGACUAGUCUCCCAGUCCCUGCCGCUGAAAACAUCAGAGACUUGUCCCGAAGCCACUCCUGCGUUGUCUUGGCUGUGUCCUUAGGGUCAUUGUCCUGUGCUGCCACCACCAUGCUUCACCGUAGGGAUGGUGCCUGGUUUCCUCCAGGCGUGAUGCUUGGCAUUCAGGCCAAAGAGUUCAAUCUUGGUUUCAUCAGACCAGAGAAUCUUGUUUCGCAUGGUCUGAGAGUCUUUAGGUGCUUUUGGCAAACUCCAAGAUGGUGGUCAUGUGCCUUUUACGUAGGAGUGGCUUCCCUCUGGUCACUCUACCACUAAGGCCUGAUUGGUGGAGUGCUGCAGAGAUGGUUGUCCUUCUGGAAGGUUUCUCCUAUCUCCACAGAGGAACUCUAGAGCUCUGUCAGAGGGACCAUCGGGUUCUUGGUCACCUCCCUGACCAAGGCCCUUCUCCCCUGAUUGCUCAGUUUGGCUGGGCGGCCAAUUCUAGGAAGAGUCUCUUGGUGGUUCCAAACUUCUUCCAUUUAAAAAUUAUGAAGGCCACUGUGUUCUUGGGGAGCUUUAAUGCUACAGACAUUUUUUGGUACCCUUCCCCAGAUCUGUGCCUUGACACAAUCCUGUCUCGGAUCUCUUAUGACAAUUCCUUUUACCUCAUGGCUUGGUUUUUGCUCUGACAUGCACUGUCAACUGUGGGACCUUAUAUGGACAGGUGUGUGCCUAUUCAAGUCAUGUCCAAUCAAUUAAAUUUACCACAGGUGGAAUCCAGUCAAGUUGUAGAAACAUCUCAAGGAUGAUCAAUGGAAACGGGAUGCACCUGAGCUCAAUUUCAAGUCUCAUAGCAAAGGGUCUGAAUACUUAAGUAUAUAAGGUUUUUCUGUUUUUUAAUUUUUAAUACAUUUGCUAAAACCUGUGAUUAUGGCGUAUGGUGUGUAGAUUCCUGAGGAUUUUUUUAUUGAAUCCAUUUUAGAAUAAGAUUGUAAUGUAACAAUGUGGAAAAAGUCAAGGGGUCUGAAUACUUUCCAAAGGCACUUUGUCCAUGUUUGGCUGCUUCCCCUGCGGUAAGAGAUUUAACGAAAGGAGACAUCACUGCCACUAUAAAUGUACACGCACUUACACACACACACAUGAGAUGUCAGCUGAGAGAGAGCAACAAGAAAUAUGUGUUUAUUUGAUGAUGUAUGCUCUGGGUCUGAAUCACUCCAUCCCUCUGUCUGCCUGGGCCUAUGGAGCCUCCUGUAGACUCACAACUAGAUGUAUAGAUGCUGACAGAUGGGACACCACGGUACGCAACGCCAUAACAAAACAGACAAGGGAUGGCAGCUGCUGUGACUGUCAUGUAUUUGUUUGUAGACCUUUUUAAUAAAGGCUCAUUAUAGAGCUAUUAGUUUCCCCCCUCUGCACAGUGAAACAGCAGUGAUGUGUGUUGGUUAGAGACAACCCAUAGGAAAUACUGUCUGUCUGUGGCUGCUCUUUUCCUGAAACGAUAGUUGCGUCUUGUCUCUUGCACACAGAGGCCCUGUAUUACAAUCAGUGAAUGUCUAAUCCAUCCUUAACCAAUGACGUGACGAUUUAUGAUUUGGGGGUGAAUGGCGAUGUGGGACAAGAUGUGUGGCGGACAUUUUAAACAUCAUCUCUAUUUCUUCCUGUUGUAUAAUGUUUAUACUCAUCGUCACGGGGAUGCACUAAUAGGAAAGGCAUAUACUUGUAUAUUUAUCACCCAACUGAAUAAAAAUGUUAAUCUCCCAACUUCAAAUCUGUAUUGGCAUGAUUUAUAUUACACCUUCCCUUAAUUAUGUUGCUUGUAAAAACCAAUAUUGCCUUGAUUAAUAAUCCAUAGCUCUGUCGAUGGGUUUGCAUUCUUUCAAUUCAGUUGAUGACUUUGCAUGCAUUUGUUUCCUCUCUGACUGAGCCUUGGCGGAACUAAAGAUGAAUAUUUCUAGUGUAUCAUCUCUCAACUUUUUUUUUCUCAAAUGCCCUCAAUUUAAUGUUGUUAGCACUGACCCUGAAGAAGGCACAUUGAUGCCGAAACGUCGGUGUUUUGUUUUUACCCAAUACUGGGAGGUUAUAUUUAUGGAGUGUGCGACUCUUUGUUUUUAUAGCACUGACAGCCAAGCAGCCGUCAUAUUUAUUCAUUCAAGACUGUGGUGGUAGAAGAUUAUCCCUUUAUUCAGGAGGAAAGACUCCGUCAGACUAUUAACUGUCAUCUCAUGACAUCCCACAAUGCAAUUCCAGCGUUCCUGAGCCUUCCUAAUACCCAGCCGAAUUCAGCAUACAUUUAAAGUAUACAUUCUCCCACACGUUUUAUAAAUUGGGUUGUUAGUGUGGUCUGAAACUGGUGUAGUUUUUGGCUGUUUUUUUUUGUUUUUCCUUUAAGAAGGAAAACAGCAGUAGAUCAGAUUAGUAGAUCAACAGCAUUUCUCGGAUGGUUUCCGUGGUGUAUGGUCCAUUUAAUUUUGGUGAGUAACAGUAAUACAUAUUCUCUUAGUCUCGCCCAAAGGCAGUAUCCUAUCCUCAGCUAAAGCAAAAACAAAUGAGUUACUUAGCUGAGCUCUGCAUCUAGAGCAUGGAAUGGCUCUUCAGUGCCCAUGUGUUAAACCAGAUGCCUUAAAUGAAGUAAGUUCAUUUUGGCUCUGAAAUGUUUGGGACCAUGUUUGGAAAUCGGCAGUGUUCAAAAAGCACCUGCUCUGCAUCCCUUCACCUUUCAGCUACUUUGUCUAAUUUAACAAGAUGUUGUAAUGGUAUUCUGAUUAUAUACAGGCAAUUUGAGUUGACCUGGGAGAUUCCAUUAAGUUUUAAGUUUUUUCCUUAACACAGCUGAAGUUGACUGACUUUUCUUUGUUCACAGAGGAACUAGGUAUGGCUGUUCAGAGGAACUAGGUAUGGCUGUUCAGAGGAACUAGGUAUGGCUGUUCAGAGGAACUAGGUAUGGCUGUUCAGAGGAACUAGGUAUGGCUGUUCAGAGGAACUAGGUAUGGCUGUUCAGAGGAACUAGGUAUGGCUGUUCAGAGGAACUAGGUAUGGCUGUUCACGGAGGAACUAGGUAUGGCUGUUCACAGAGGAACUAGGUAUGGCUGUUCACAGAGGAACUAGGUAUGGCUGUUCACAGAGGAACUAGGUAUGGCUGUUCACAGAGGAACUAGGUAUGGCUGUUAAGAGGAACUAGGUAUGGCUGUUCAGAGGAACUAGGUAUGGCUGUUAAGAGGAACUAGGUAUGGCUGUUCACAGAGGAACUAGGUAUGGAUGUUCACAGAGGAACUAGGUAUGGCUGUUCACGGAGGAACUAGGUAUGGCUGUUCACGGAGGAACUAGGUAUGGCUGAUCACGGAGGAACUAGGUAUGGAUGUUCACGGAGGAACUAGGUAUGGCUGUUCACGGAGGAACUAGGUAUGGAUGUUCACAGAGGAACUAGGUAUGGAUGUUCACAGAGGAACUAGGUAUGGCUGAUCACAGAGGAACUAGGUAUGGCUGAUCACGGAGGAACUAGGUAUGGCUGUUCACAGAGGAACUAGGUAUGGCUGUUCACAGAGGAACUAGGUAUGGCUGUUCACGGAGGAACUAGGUAUGGCUGUUCACGGAGGAACUAGGUAUGGCUGUUCACGGAGGAACUAGGUAUGGCUGUUCACGGAGGAACUAUGUAUGGCUGUUCACGGAGGAACUAUGUAUGGCUGUUCACGGAGGAACUAUGUAUGGCUGUUCACGGAGGAACUAUGUAUGGCUGUUCACGGAGGAACUAUGUAUGGCUGUUCACGGAGGAACUAUGUAUGGCUGUUCACGGAGGAACUAUGUAUGGCUGUUCACGGAGGAACUAUGUAUGGCUGUUCACGGAGGAACUAUGUAUGGCUGUUCACGGAGGAACUAUGUAUGGCUGUUCACGGAGGAACUAUGUAUGGCUGUUCACGGAGGAACUAUGUAUGGCUGUUCACGGAGGAACUAGGUAUGGCUGUUCACGGAGGAACUAGGUAUGGCUGUUCACAGAGGAACUAGGUAUGGCUGUUCACAGAGGAACUAGGUAUGGCUGAUCACAGAGGAACUAUGUAUGGCUGAUCACAGAGGAACUAUGUAUGGCUGUUCACGGAGGAACUAGGUAUGGCUGUUCACGGAGGAACUAGGUAUGGCUGAUCACGGAGGAACUAGGUAUGGCUGAUCACGGAGGAACUAUGUAUGGCUGUUCACGGAGGAACUAUGUAUGGCUGAUCACGGAGGAACUAUGUAUGGCUGAUCACGGAAGAACUAUGUAUGGCUGUUCACGGAGGAACUAUGUAUGGCUGUUCACGGAGGA